AGGAUGAACGCUAGCGGCAGGCCUAAUACAUGCAAGUCGAACGGUCGGUAGCAAUACUGAUAGUGGCGCACGGGUGCGUAACGCGUAGCCAACCUACCCACAUCUGGGGGGAUAGCCCGCCGAAAGGCGGAUUAAUACCGCAUAAGACAGCGGAGCGGCAUCGCUUGGUUGUUAAAGAUUUAUUGGAUGUGGAUGGGGCUGCGUGCCAUUAGCUAGUUGGGGGGGUAACGCCCACCAAGGCGACGAUGGCUA
rnacentral:rRNA from 1 species